CCCUCUAAUGGAUUGAACCUUGUCGUGGUGAGGGGGCUGAGUAUGUGAGGAUUUUUAAUAAAAAUCAUGGAAAUCAGCAUCAAUC
rnacentral:ribozyme from 1 species